GAACAUACCUUGUAGUGGGGGAUAACUAUCCGAAAGGAUAGCUAAUACCGCAUACGCUCUAAGGAGGAAAGUGGGGGAUCUUAGGACCUCAUGCUAUAAGAGUGGCCGAUAUCUGAUUAGCUAGUUGGUGAGGUAAAGGCUCACCAAGGCGACGAUCAGUAGCUGGUCUGAGAGGACGACCAGCCACACUGGAACUGAGACACGGUCCAGACUCCUACGGGAGGCAGCAGUGGGGAAUUUUGGACAAUGGGGGCAACCCUGAUCCAGCAAUGCCGCGUGAGUGAAGAAGGCCUUCGGGUUGUAAAGCUCUUUUGUCAGGGAAGAAACGGUUGUGGCUAAUAUCCAUGGCUAAUGACGGUACCUGAAGAAUAAGCACCGGCUAACUACGUGCCAGCAGCCGCGGUAAUACGUAGGGUGCAAGCGUUAAUCGGAAUUACUGGGCGUAAAGCGUGCGCAGGCGGUUUUAUAAGACAGAGGUGAAAUCCCCGGGCUCAACCUGGGAACUGCCUUUGUGACUGUAAGGCUAGAGUGUGUCAGAGGGGGGUAGAAUUCCACGUGUAGCAGUGAAAUGCGUAGAUAUGUGGAGGAAUACCGAUGGCGAAGGCAGCCCCCUGGGAUAACACUGACGCUCAUGCACGAAAGCGUGGGAGCAACAGGAUUAGAUACCCUGGUAGUCCACGCCCUAAACGAUGUCUACUAGUUGUCGGGACUUAAUUGUCUUGGUAACGCAGCUAACGCGUGAAGUAGACCACCUGGGGAGUACGGUCGCAAGAUUAAAACUCAAAGGAAUUGACGGGGGC
rnacentral:rRNA from 1 species